rnacentral:rRNA from 1 species
UCCAGACUCCUACGGGAGGCAGCAGUGGGGGAUAUUGCACAAUGGGGGGAACCCUGAUGCAGCGACGCCGCGUGGGUGAAGAAGCGCCUCGGCGCGUAAAGCCCUGUCAGCAGGGAAGAAAAUGACGGUACCUAAAGAAGAAGCCCCGGCUAACUACGUGCCAGCAGCCGCGGUAAUACGUAGGGGGCAAGCGUUAUCCGGAUUUACUGGGUGUAAAGGGAGCGUAGACGGCAGAGCAAGUCUGAAGUGAAAGCCCGCGGCCCAACUGCGGGACUGCUUUGGAAACUGCCCGGCUAGAGUGCUGGAGAGGUAAGCGGAAUUCCUAGUGUAGCGGUGAAAUGCGUAGAUAUUAGGAGGAACACCAGUGGCGAAGGCGGCUUACUGGACAGUAACUGACGUUGAGGCUCGAAAGCGUGGGGAGCAAACAGGAUUAGAUACCCGCGUAAA